rnacentral:lncRNA from 1 species
UUAAAGUCGACAAGAAGGCGAACCAAGAAGUCCAAAAUGAAGAUCAAACGACCAUGGAGGACUUUGGCCUUAAAAGGCCAAACAUUUGAGACAGAGGAAGAGGGCGACCAAGGAAACCUGACGCCAAGGCAGAAGAAGCUUCCCUUCUUCCGUUGCAACUUUAAUACCAACAUGAAGACUUACCUCCCAUGGAAGUUUCUAGGCUGGAUGGGGAGGAUUACAAUUCAAAAACCAAUAACUAAGAGACUGGAAGAAGAGCUCUGUAACAAAAGGGAAAUUGAGUCCCUAUACCAAGCAGUCGAGGUGUCUUCAUUCAACCCGAGCUCAUCCUCCCCUAUCCCAUUUUAAGUCCUUCAAAUUAUAGCAAGAGUCCUAUUCAAGACUCUCUCAAGAAUCAUUAAAAGAUCAAGGGAAGAGAAAUUGAUUACAUGUAUGCAUCCUAAAUCAAAGAGGAAACCAUGAUCGGCCAAGAGAGGAAGAAUUAUGUUUUAAAUUUAUUUUGUUGCUCUCAUUUCCCUAUUUGAAUUAGGACAAGAUUAUUUAAUUAUUUAAGUUUAAGAUUUCAUUAGAAUUAUGCAAU